rnacentral:rRNA from 1 species
CUUCCGUAGGGGGAACCUGCGGAAGGAUCAUUACCGAGUGCGGGUCCUUUGGCCCACCUCCCAUCCGUGUCUAUUGUACCCUGUUGCUUCGGCGGGCCCGCCGCUUGUCGGCCGCCGGGGGGGCGCCUCUGCCCCCCGGGCCCGUGCCCGCCGGAGACCCCAACACGAACACUGUCUGAAAGCGUGCAGUCUGAGUUGAUUGAAUGCAAUCAGUUAAAACUUUCAACAAUGGAUCUCUUGGUUCCGGCAUCGAUGAAGAACGCAGCGAAAUGCGAUAACUAAUGUGAAUUGCAGAAUUCAGUGAAUCAUCGAGUCUUUGAACGCACAUUGCGCCCCCUGGUAUUCCGGGGGGCAUGCCUGUCCGAGCGUCAUUGCUGCCCUCAAGCCCGGCUUGUGUGUUGGGUCGCCGUCCCCCUCUCCGGGGGGACGGGCCCGAAAGGCAGCGGCGGCACCGCGUCCGAUCCUCGAGCGUAUGGGGCUUUGUCACAUGCUCUGUAGGAUUGGCCGGCGCCUGCCGACGUUUUCCAACCAUUCUUUCCAGGUUGACCUCGGAUCAGGUAGGGAUACCCGCUGAACUUAAGCAUAUCAAUAAGGCGGAGGAA